UACUGAUCUAUUUCUGUGCCAAUACCACCUACUGUAACUUUAAAAUAGGUUUUUGUUUAUACCAAGUAAGAAUAAGUUACCAUUAUUUUUCCAUUAAUUUUUUUUUUUUUUUUUGAGACAAGGUCUCACUCUGUCACUCUGUUGCCCAGGCUGGAGUGCAGUGGCAUGAUCUCAGCUCACUGUAACCUCUGCCUCCCUGCUUCAAGCUAUUCUCCCACCUCAUCCUCCCGAGUAACUGGGACUACAGAUGCGUGCCACCACACCUGACUAAUCUUUAUAUUUUUAGUAGAGAGGGGGGUUUCACCGUGUUGGCCAGGCUAGUCUCGAGCUCGUGACCUCACGUGAUCCUCCCGUCUCCGCCUCCCAAAGUGCUGGAAUUACUGGCAUGAGCCACCGAGGCUGGCCUGAGUAUUCUAGUUUAUAACUUACAAGGUCAUUCAUAUGUAUAUGUUGUUGUGCUUGUCUAGCUAUUUUAUAUUUUGUUAUUCUGAACUCUUGGCCUCUAUCUCAGCUCCAGCCCCUGAAAGUGCAGGAGUGCUUUUGCUCUGCCAGUCGGCCUUUUUUGGGAAAUCAUAUCAAGAUGGCUUUUCCAGCACAAUUACUUCCUAGAGUGUCUGCUUGAUGCAUGGAAACUCAUAGAUUUUUGGCAUGCCAAACAGAGGGUUUUCCUGCCGUCACUGCUGGCUCCAGCCACAGACUUCAGUUUUCUUACCUGUUAGAGCCUUUGUCCUCUGACUGGUGGAAAUGGAGCUUGCUUCUUUUUGUUUUGCCUGCCACUAGUCUGGCAGCCUCCACCUCUUGACCCUUGGGUUUCUUAUCCUUGGAAUCAGAUACGAGGCCCUGUGUCUUCUGUUGCUGUAGAGGACACAAGUCAUAUUCUCUGAGUGGAGAUCUCUCUGAAGCUCCUCUUUCCAGGCUUGUACUGAGGGACCUCUGGACCCUCUACCACGUGGUGUCAAAGCUGCCAAGAGCUGUCAUAUGCUGGGUCUGUAAAUUGACUUUCUCACCUCUGACCAGAUGCAUUCACUUGAGCGGCACAGAGAUUUGGGGGAGUGAAAGGGCACUGUUUCUUUGGGUCCGUGGGCUUGUGUCCCAUCCCCUAGCCUUGGGGUUAGCAGGAUUCAGAAUUUAUGAGUGUGGUCUGCAAAAGUCUACCUCUACCAGAUGGGGGAGAACCUAGUGUGUGGACCUGAAGGGUUAGCUCUGUGCUUUAGUCCCUGGGAGUGGCCAUCUUGAGUCUUGGUGGGCUUGGCAAGUAAGGAGACAUUGACCAGAUUCAAAGCUUCCAGAGGUGGUGAGAACUCCAGGGCCGAGUAAUGGAGAGUACAAAGGUCCUUCUUGGCCCCCAUGACCCUUCCAAGCCAAGAACUUGGCAGUAGCUGUGAGAAGCAGAGAUAGGGAGAGGAGGUGAGGGGCACCUAUAGCUCUUAGCCAUGAGUUAUGACUCCCUCCAUCCAAGGGAGACCCAAGGACAUGAAAGGGGACUCAGUUCCAAGGAUCAGAGGGAACUUGGGUUGUUUUGGGAUAAUGACUGUGGCUUGGGAUGUCACGGAGAUGAACACCAGAAUUGGUGUGCAACAGAUGAGCUCCAGUACCCCUGAUAGUUUGCAUGGGUUUUGCUCUGCUGAUGAUGGUCAGGGACAGCAGUGAGGCCCUCUACAAUGCCGCCUUCUGCCUAAACACAGGCAGUGCCCACAAAAGGGGAGCUGUCAUUAUGGAGCCUAGGAAUGGAUAGUCAGAGAGCAGCGGCUGGGCAGUGCAACUCCUGCAUUGGACAAGGUCCUGGCUAGAGAAUGUCAAUGUCCACACUGCAUGUAGCCCUAUCGAGGAGAUGAUGUAGGGGGCUGUCAGCCUUGGAGACUCUAGCCUAAGUACCCCACCACCACUCUGGCUGGCUUCCAAGGGCACAAAUCAGCUUUCUGAAUCUGACUUGGCUUCCUGUGAUCUGCAUUCAUGAACAUUCUUACUAGAGUUCUCAUGGAAAAUGAAUACACAACUAUUUGGUCUGAAUGUGUCUGAGUUUGGUGUCUCCAAAACAAUUCUCUGGAUUAGAUGGAGAAUGAAGAAACUUCACAAAGGCAAAAGGACAGGUCCCCAUCUCGACCCCCAGAGACCACUUCUCAGAGUCUCUAUCUGUUCGUCUCUGGUGUUAGCCACGUUCCUUUACUUUCCCUCAUUUCUGUGGCCACUCCUGUGGCUUCCUCUCUUUCAACCUGCAGGCUGCUGCUGCCCUGCCUCAGACCCUUGUAGGCUUCUGUAGAGAUGCUACUCAGAUGGGGGUGGAGCUAGAUGCAGAGCUGAAACCCACCUAGGAGAUCUAGCUUGGAGAGCUUGUGAAUCUUAGGAGAGCUAGGCAUAGAAUGACUAAAGUUUGUCACCGCAUGAGAUAAAAUAAAUGAAAAGCCACUUCUGGAGGGAAUGAGGCAGUCUGCCUUUAUUGGAGAGAUACAUAUUGUUGAACAGCUCUGGGCAGUUGAUUGUGUGCCUGGGAGAGCUAACCAUGUUUACUCUACACUUGACCUGUGAUGGUCUGUAUUGAUUGUAUCACACGCUUAGCUUUCUAAGGCUAACCAGGUCAUCGUCCUCAGUCCCUGCCUGCAACUAGGUUGCCAACUGGCCCUUGAUUUCCCACCCAACUUGUUCAGUUUGCCCUCAAUCCUGGGGCCUCACUAAUUUCCCAAAAAGAUAUGGUUGGUACCACCUGUAGUUUGCUGUUGCAUGUUAACCUGACUUUUGGGAAACUCAAAUAAACACUUUUCAAACGCAUUGACCAUUUUUACUCUAUGACUUCUGCUUUGCAUGAUCGCUAGCUUGGUCACCCAUCAUGCUGCUUUCUGGUGAGCUGAAAGGAAAAUAAAUGGUCUAAAUUGAGCAACAAGAAAGUAAACUUUUAAGCAGGUACUUUCCAAGUGAAAUG
rnacentral:lncRNA from 1 species